GAGACUUCUCCCUGAUCACUGGAGCAUACUUGAGUCUGGAACAGGGCAGACCAGAAAAGCCAGGGUCUUAAUGCCCCUUGGAGCAACCUUCAAACAAUGAUUGACUGCAGGUUAGACCACCUUCCUUGUCCUGUGGAGAUCUCUGCAUAUCAAGAGGGCAAAGGCAAAAGCUGUCAGGACAGCUCUUAAACAAGUUCUGCACAAUCUCCCGGAGAAUCCAUGGAGACUUCCGUGGAGCACCCCAGGAAGGACCCAGUGGAGAACCCCCAUAUGGAAGACCCCAUGGCAGACCCCCAGGAGAACACCAGCCUGUGGAGAACCUCCAGGGAAGACCCCCAUGGAGGACCCCCUGAUACCCUGGAGAACCACUCCCCACCCCGUGGAGGCCCCCCAUGGAGAACCCCCAGGGAUGACCCCCUGGAGAACAACCCCCUACUCAGUGGAGGACCCUAUGAGACUGAGCUCUGCUGAGCUGCUCAUUAACUCCUCUGCCUGGCUUCCUCCCUUCUGUAUUUCCUUCCUCAUGCCCUGACCGGGGCGUCCUGAAAUCAAUUCCCAAUGGACUAUUUACACUUAUGUUCUGAUCUCAAGCCUGUUUUUGAUAACCUCCACCUAAGACUGCAAUGAAAUAAGUUUGGGAAGUGUGGCCCAUUUCAGAAUCAUGGGGUGGGAAGGUCUAAAGUUGAAAACUACAAAGUGAGAAAGCCUCUCCACAGCAAAGUGUAGCAACAUGGGUAAAUCUCACAAACAUAAUGCUGAGUGAAAGAAACCAGGCACAGGCGAAUACAUACUGUAUAAUUCCAACUAUAUAAAGUGCAACAGCAGACCCCAGGGAUUGAUCUCAUCACAAGUUCAGAAUAGUGACUGGAAGACAGGAUGAUGAGAGCUUCUGGACAGCUAGAAUUCUAUUUCUGUAGUGUAGUGACAUAAAUGAUUAAAAAUGGCUUCCAAUAAUUUGAGAGAAUAGCACUGAAACAUAUAUAUUAUCAUAUGUGAACUAGAUCACCAGUCCAGGUUGGAUGCAUGAGACAAGGGUGGUCAGGGCUGGUGU